GUCAAUAGUUAUUAGUUAUUGAUUAUUUGGUAAUAUAUUGAUAUCUCUGUGUUCUCUUAUGUCUGUGUCGUCAACAUUUGAACAUUUUUGAGCGGUCCGCUCUUUCUGACUGUAAACAAAGCCGUUCUCCACCUCCUCUAACCUGAUUGGUUGUGAGGCAGACGCUGCUCCCCCGUGUCGUUCAGGAGCCCAAACAAAGUUAGCGUGCUACAAUAUCGGACAGUAGAAACCAACCAGAAAGUUCGGAAAAUUGUCUGAAUCCUCCUUUGGCCACGACUGCCGACACAAGCAAGAAAACACUCAAACAUAAACAGUCAGCAAGAAAACAGUCAACACCAAACCGGUCAACAGGGAAACGGUCAACAGGAAAACAGUCAACACCAAAACAGUCAACAAAAAACAGUCAGCAAGAAAAUGUCAACAAGAAAACAGUCAACAAGAAAACGUCAACCAUAAUCAGUCAACAAGAAAACAGUCAACAAGAAAACAGUCAACAAGAAAACAGUCAACAAGAAAACAGUCAACACCAAACCAGUCAACACCAAAACAGUCAACAAAAAACAGUCAGCAAGAAAACAGUCAGCAAAAACAGUCAAACAUAAACAGUCAACACCAAACCGGUCAACAGGAAAACAGUCAACACCAAAACAGUCAACAAAAAACAGUCAGCAAGAAAACGUCAACAAGAAAAAAGUCAACAAGAAAACAGUCAACACCAAAACAGUCAACAAAAAACAGUCAGCAAGGAAACAGUCAACAAGAAAACAGUCAACAAGAAAACAGUCAACAAGAAAACAGUCAGCAAGAAAACAGUCAACCAUAAACAGUCAACAAGAAAACAGUCAACAAGAAAACAAUCAACCAAGAAAACAGUCAGCAAGAAAACAGUCAACAAGAAAACAGUCAACAAGAAAACAGUCAGCAAGAAAACAGUCAGCAAGAAAACGUCAACCAUAAACAGUCAAAAAGAAAACAGUCAACAAGAAAACAGUCAACAAGAAAACAGUCAACAAGAAAACGCUGCUCCCCCGUGUCGUUCAGGAGCCCAAACAAAGUUAGCGUGCUACAAUAUCGGACAGUAGAAACCAACCAGAAAGUUCGGAAAAUUGUCCGAAUCCUCCUUUGGCCACGACUGCCGACACAAGCAAGAAAACACUCAAAC